rnacentral:rRNA from 1 species
GAACGGUAGCAGGAAGUGCUUGCACUUCGCUGACGAGUGGCGGACGGGUGAGUAAUGCUUGGGAACUUGCCUUUAGGUGGGGGAUAACAGUUGGAAACGACUGCUAAUACCGCAUAAUGUCUACGGACCAAAGGGGGCUUCGGCUCCCGCCUUGAGAGAGGCCCAAGUGAGAUUAGCUAGUUGGUGGGGUAAAGGCCUACCAAGGCAACGAUCUCUAGCUGUUCUGAGAGGAAGAUCAGCCACACUGGGACUGAGACACGGCCCAGACUCCUACGGGAGGCAGCAGUGGGGAAUAUUGCACAAUGGGGGAAACCCUGAUGCAGCCAUGCCGCGUGUGUGAAGAAGGCCUUCGGGUUGUAAAGCACUUUCAGUUGUGAGGAAAGGUUGGUAGUUAAUACCUGCCAGCUGUGACGUUAACAACAGAAGAAGCACCGGCUAACUCCGUGCCAGCAGCCGCGGUAAUACGGAGGGUGCGAGCGUUAAUCGGAAUUACUGGGCGUAAAGCGCACGCAGGCGGCUUGUUAAGCUAGAGGUGAAAGCCCCGCGCUCAACGUGGGAACUGCCUUUAGAACUGGCAGGCUAGAGUCUUGGAGAGGGGAGUGGAAUUCCAGGUGUAGCGGUGAAAUGCGUAGAUAUCUGGAGGAACAUCAGUGGCGAAGGCGGCUCCCUGGCCAAAGACUGACGCUCAUGUGCGAAAGUGUGGGUAGCGAACAGGAUUAGAUACCCUGGUAGUCCACACCGUAAACGCUGUCUACUAGCUGUUUGUGUAUUUAAU